CUAGGAGAGAGAGACAGGCAGUUUCCACAUCAACAAUCAUUUCAGUCAACGGCGAGAUGGAACGGCCCAGCGUCACAAUGGUGGUGCUGAAGCUGCUGCUGGACCCAUAGAGGAAACCUACCUCAUCAAAGUGUGUUUUCUGCGUGUAUCAAAUCUCACCAAUACCCACCUCUCCCACCAGCCAGACAAAAGACCAGGGGAGAGGAAUGUAAUGUUCUCUGUCAAAGUAACAGUGUGCUGCGACCCAUCCUAAGGCAUGAGCAACUGCACCAGCAGCAGGUGUAG